rnacentral:rRNA from 1 species
CAUGCAAGUCGAGGGGAAACGACAUCGAAAGCUUGCUUUUGAUGGGCGUCGACCGGCGCACGGGUGAGUAACGCGUAUCCAACCUGCCCACCACUUGGGGAUAACCUUGCGAAAGUAAGACUAAUACCCAAUGACGUCUCUAGAAGACAUCUGAAAGAGAUUAAAGAUUUAUCGGUGAUGGAUGGGGAUGCGUCUGAUUAGCUUGUUGGCGGGGUAACGGCCCACCAAGGCGACGAUCAGUAGGGGUUCUGAGAGGAAGGUCCCCCACAUUGGAACUGAGACACGGUCCAAACUCCUACGGGAGGCAGCAGUGAGGAAUAUUGGUCAAUGGGCGAGAGCCUGAACCAGCCAAGUAGCGUGCAGGAUGACGGCCCUAUGGGUUGUAAACUGCUUUUAUAAGGGAAUAAAGUGAGUCUCGUGAGACUUUUUGCAUGUACCUUAUGAAUAAGGACCGGCUAAUUCCGUGCCAGCAGCCGCGGUAAUACGGAAGGUCCGGGCGUUAUCCGGAUUUAUUGGGUUUAAGGGGAGCGUAGGCCGGAGAUUAAGCGUGUUGUGAAAUGUAGACGCUCAACGUCUGCACUGCAGCGCGAACUGGUUUCCUUGAGUACGCACAAAGUGGGCGGAAUUCGUGGUGUAGCGGUGAAAUGCUUAGAUAUCACGAAGAACUCCGAUUGCGAAGGCAGCUCACUGGAGCGCAACUGACGCUGAAGCUCGAAAGUGCGGGUAUCGAACAGGAUUAGAUACCCUGGUAGUCCGCACGGUAAACGAUGGAUGCCCGCUGUUGGUCUGAAUAGGUCAGCGGCCAAGCGAAAGCAUUAAGCAUCCCACCUGGGGAGUACGCCGGCAACGGUGAAACUCAAAGGAAUUGAC